AUUGAACGCUGGCGGAAUGCUUUACACAUGCAAGUCGAACGGCAGCACGGACUUCGGUCUGGUGGCGAGUGGCGAACGGGUGAGUAAUGUAUCGGAACGUGCCCAGUCGUGUGGGAUAACGUAGUUAAGAUUACGCUAAUACCGCAUACGAUCUAUGGAUGAAAGCGGGGGAUCGCAAGACCUCGCGCGAUUGGAGGGGCGGAUAUCAGGUUAGGUAGUUGGUGGGGUGAAUGCGCACCAAGCCAACGAUCUGUAGCUGGUCUGGGAGGACGGCCAGACACUGGAACUGAGACAGGGUCCAGACUCCUACGGGAGGGAGCAGUGGGGAAUUUUGGACAAUGGGCCAGAGCCUGAUGCAGCCAUUCCGCGUGCAGGAUGAAGGCCCUCGGGUUGUAAACUGCUUUUGUACAGAACGAAAAGGUUUCUACUAAUACUAGGAGCUCAUGACGGUACUGUAAGAAUAAGCACCGGCUAACUACGUGCCAGCCGCCGCGGUAA
rnacentral:rRNA from 1 species